UUUGAGGAUUUGAGGACCGAUGCUAAACCUUUUCAGUCUCCUGAGGGAGAAUAGGCUUUGUCGUGCCCUCUUCACGACUGUCAUCGUGUGCUUCGACCAUGUUAGUUUGUUGGUGAUGUGAACGCCAAGGAACUUGAAGCUCUCAACCUGCUCCACUACAGCCCCAUCGAUGAGAAUGGGGGCGUUCUCCAUCCUUCUUUUCCUGUAGUCCACAAUCAUCUCCUUUGUCUUGAUCACAUUGAGGGAGAGGUUGUUGUCCUAUCACCACACGGUCAGGUCUCUGACCUCCUCCCUAUAGGCUGUCUCAUCGUUGUCUGUGAUCAGGCCUACCACUGUUGUCAUCAGCAAACUUAAUGAUGGUGUUGGAGUCAUGCCUGGUCGUGCAGUCAUGAGUGAACAGGGAGUACAGGAGGGGACUGAGCACGCACCCCUGAGGGACCCCCGUGUUGAGGAUCAGCGUGGCGGAUGUGUUGUUGCCUACCCUUACCACCCGGGGGCCGUCAAGAAGUCCAGGAUCCAGUUGCAGAGGGAGGUGUUUAGCUUAGUGAUGAGCUUUGAGGGCACUAUGGUGUUGAACGCUGAGCUGUCGUCAAUGAAUAGCAUUCUCACAUAGGUGUUCCUUUUGUCCAGGUGUGGUAUUUGGUAUUUUAUUAGGAUCCAUUUGCUGUUGCAAAAGCAGCGGCUACUCUUCCUGGGGUCCAACACAAAACAUGAACCAUAAUACAGAAUGACAUAAUACAGAACAUCAAUAGACAAGAACAGCUCAAGGACAGAACUACAUACAUGUUAUUUUAAAGGCACACGUAGACUACAUAUCAAUGCACACACACACAAACUAUCUGGGUCAAAUAGACUACAUAUCAAUGCAUACACACACAAACUAUCUAGGUCCAAUAGACUACAUAUCAAUACAUACACACAAACUAUCUGGGUCCAAUAGACUACAUAUCAAUGCACACACACAAACUAUCUGGGUCAAAUAGACUACAUAUCAAUACACACACACAAACUAUCUAGGUCCAAUAGACUACAUAUCAAUACACACACACACACAAACUAUCUGGGUCCAAUAGACUACAUAUCAAUGCACACACACACAAACUAUCUAGGUCCAAUAGACUACAUAUCAAUACAUACACACACAAACUAUCUGGGUCCAAUAGACUACAUAUCAAUGCACACACACACAAACUAUCUGGGUCCAAUAGACUACAUAUCAAUACAUACACACACAAACUAUCUAGGUCCAAUAGACUACAUAUCAAUACAUACACACACAAACUAUCUGGGUCCAAUAGACUACAUAUCAAUGCAUACACACACAAACUAUCUGGGUCCAAUAGACUACAUAUCAAUACACACACACACAAACUAUCUGGGUCCAAUAGACUACAUAUCAAUACAUACACACACAAACUAUCUGGGUCCAAUAGACUACAUAUCAAUACACACACACACAAACUAUCUGGGUCCAAUAGACUACAUAUCAAUACAUACACACACAAACUAUCUGGGUCCAAUAGACUACAUAUCAAUACACACACACACAAACUAUCUGGGUCCAAUAGACUACAUAUCAAUACAUACACACACAAACUAUCUGGGUCCAAUAGACUACAUAUCAAUACAUACACACACAAACUAUCUAGGUCCAAUAGACUACAUAUCAAUACAUACACACACAAACUAUCUAGGUCCAAUAGACUACAUAUCAAUACAUACACACACAAACUAUCUAGGUCCAAUAGACUACAUAUCAAUGCAUACACACACAAACUAUCUAGGUCCAAUAGGGGGAGAGGCGUUAUGCCGUGAGGUGUUGCUUUAUCUGUGUUUUGAAACCAGGUUUGCUGUUCAUUUGUUCAAUAUGAGAUGGAAGGAAGUUCUAUAUAAUUCUCUACGCUUUCUUUAAUUAUUUCUGGAUUUUGGGACUGUGAAAAGACCCCUGGUCUGGUAAGUGUGUAUGUCAGAGCUGUGUGUAAGUUGACUAUGCAAACAAUUUGGGAUUUUCAGCACAUUAAUGUUUCUUACAAAAAGAAGAAGUGAUGCAGUCAGUCUCUCCACAACUCUUAAAACUUCUUAGGGCUGAGAUCCCGUUAACUGGAUCGAUAUGACAACAGCCAGUGAAUGUCUAGGGGGCCAAAUUCAAAACAACAGAAAUCUCAUAAUUAAAAUUCCUCAAACAUAGAAGUAUUUCACACCAUUUUAAAGAUACACUUCUUAUUAAUCCCACCCCAGUGUCCGAUUUCAAGUAGGCUUUAUGGCGAAAGCACCCCAGCGAUUCUGUUAGGUCAGAGCCAAGUCACAGAAAAAUACAGCCUUUUUUCCAGCCAAAGAGAGGAGUCACAAAAAUCAGAAAUAGAGAUAGAAUGAAUCACUAACUUUAGAUGAUCUUCAUCAGAUGACACUCAUCAGUUGACACUCAGAUGACACUGAUGACAUUUAUCAGAUGACACUCACAUCAAACGAUGUAUAGAAUCAAUCUUUAGGAUGUUUUUAAACAUAAAUCUUCAAUAACGUUCCCAACUGGAGAAUUCCUUUGUCUGUAGAAUUGCGAUGGAACAGAGCUCGCUCUCAGGUGAAUGAGCGUCACGAGCUCAAAGCAUUCUGGCAGACCUCUGACUCAUUCCCCUCUCAUUCGGCCCCACUUCACAGUAGAAGCCUCAAACAAGGUUCUAAAGUCGGUUGACAUCUGGUGGAAGCCGUAGGAAGUACAACAUGACCAAGAUCCCACUGUGUCUUCAAUAGGGAAUGGGUUGAAAAAUGACCAACCUCAGAUUUCCCACUUCCUGGUUGGAUUUUUUUCUCAGGUGUUUGCCUGUCAUAUGAGUUUUGUUAUACUCACAGACAUCAUUCACACAGUUUUAGAAAGUUCAGAGUGUUUUCUAUCCAAUACUAAUAAUACUACUAUACUAAUACUAUGCAUAUAUUAGCAACUGGGACUGAGUAGCAGGCAGUUUACUCUGGGCACCUCUGGGCACCUUAUUCAUCCAAGCUACUCAACACUGCCCCCAGCCAUAAGAAGACUCUUAACCUAGAGAGACUGGCAUGCAUGGCAUUUAUAUCGUCCUUCUGAUUACAAUUAAGAGAAAAACGUGGCACUUUGUUCUGGGCCAGCUGCAGCUUUAUUACGGACAGACCUCUCCCCAUCUGUUUAUUACAGCCAGACCUCUCCCCAUCUCUUUAUUACAGACAGACCUCUCCCCAUCGUUACAACCACUGCAUCUAUAUGUUUUGACCAUGACAGUUUACAGUCUAAGGUAACACCAAGUAAUUUAGUCUCCUCAACUUGUUCAACAGCCACACUAUUCAUUACCAGAUUCAGCUGAGGUCUAGCCCUUAAGGAAUGAUUUGUACCAAAUACAAUGCUCUUAGUUUUAGAGACGUUCGGGACCAGUUUAUUACUGGCCAUCCAUUCCAAAACAGACUGCAACUCUUUGUUAAGGGUUUCAGUGACUUCAUUAGCUAUGGUUGCUGAUGCGUAUAUGGUUGAAUCAUCAGCAUACAUGGUGGACACACAUGCUUUGUUUAAUGCCAGUGGCA